UACGAAGGUGGCUAGCGUUGUUCGGAUUUAUUGGGCGUAAAGGGUCCGCAGGCGGUUUGGAAAGUCAGAUGUGAAAUCCCACAGCUUAACUGUGGACACGCAUUUGAAACUUCCAGACUAGAGUAUGAGAGGGGUAAAUGGAAUUUCCAGUGUAGGGGUGAAAUCCGUAGAUAUCUGGAGGAACACCGGUGGCGAAGGCGGCAGUUCUGGACUGCAACUGACACUGAUGAACGAAAGCCAGGGGAGCAAACGGG
rnacentral:rRNA from 1 species